rnacentral:rRNA from 1 species
GAGUUUGAUCCUGGCUCAGAAUGAACGUUGGCGGCGUGGAUUAGGCAUGCAAGUCGAACGGGGCCGCAAGGUACCCGUGGCGCAAGGGUGAGUAAGGCGACGGUAACCAACCCCGGGGUUGGCCAUAGCCGCGGGAAACCGCGGGUAAUAGCCAGCGACGUGGCGUCCUGGCAUCAAGACGCUACCAAAGGUGGGAUUCCGCCCCGGGACGGGCCGUUGUGGUAUCAGGUUGUUGGUGGGGUAACGGCUCACCAAGCCGGCGACGCCUACCGGGCGUGCGAGCGUGGCCCGGCACACUGGGACUGAGACACUGCCCAGACUCCUACGGGAGGCCGCAGUCGAGAAUCUUCGGCAAUGGGCGCAAGCCUGACCGAGCGACGCCGCGUGGAGGAUGAAGGCCUUCGGGUUGUAAACUCCUGUCGCGGGGGAGGAAGGGCCGGUGUAGAACCGGCCUUGACCGAUCCCGGGAGGAAGCACGGGCUAAGUUCGUGCCAGCAGCCGCGGUAAGACGAACCGUGCGAACGUUACUCGGAAUCACUGGGCUUAAAGCGCGUGUAGGCGGAGGGCCGCGUCGGUUGCUGAAGCCCCCGGCUCAACCGGGGAAGGGGCACCGAAACGGGCUCUCUGGAGGGGAGUAGGGGGACCUGGAACUUCCGGUGGAGCGGUGAAAUGCGUUGAGAUCGGAAGGAACGCCCGUGGCGAAAGCGAGGUCCUGGGCUCUCACUGACGCUGAGACGCGAAAGCCAGGGGAGCGAACGGGAUUAGAUACCCCGGUAGUCCUGGCCGUAAACGAUGGGCACUGGGU